rnacentral:rRNA from 1 species
GAAUACGUUCCCGGGCCUUGUACACACCGCCCGUCACACCAUGGGAGUUGGUUUUACCCGAAGGCGCUGUGCUAACCGCAAGGAGGCAGGCGACCACGGUAGGGUCAGCGACUGGGGUGAAGUCGUAACAAGGUAGCCGUAGGGGAACCUGCGGCUGGAUCACCUCCUUUCUAAGG